AAAGUCGUAACAAGGUUUCCGUAGGUGAACCUGCGGAAGGAUCAUUACUAAGAUAGUUGAUAUCUGAUGAAAGUCAGGUGUUGAUUUCUUGUGAACUGGGAUUAGUCGUGUUUUUUUGUGCUACUUGGCAACUUGUAGUAUGUGGGAACGUGACUGGUUCGUUACUUUAUAUCUUGUAUUUUGUUGUUUUAUGCAUUGAAUCUGGACUUUGUACGUAUGUGCAAGGAAAGGAGGAGAUGAAUAACCAAAGACAACUUUCAGCAAUGGAUCUCUUGGCUCUU
rnacentral:misc_RNA from 1 species